AGUAGGGAGUGCGCCUCCGUGUUGCCUACAGCCCCUCAUCAAAAGAACUGGUCCAAAACUGCACCUCUAAACCCAGGCUUCUUCUUUACACCAAGCAACUAUUUAAUAUGUCUUAGUGAAGUAAACUUUGGAAUUUAGGAGCGGGGAAUCAUCGUACCUUCUCCCGGAGCCAAAGCCCCGUCGACUCGCGCCACCGCCAUACUUGCCGCUUGCUAAUGACACCCGGCAACCGUCCUCAGCCGUUCUGUAGAGCAUGUAGUCAGCAUUGGGGCGCUGCAAACUACAACUCCCAGGAUGCACAGCACUCUGCUGGUCCAAUUGGCUCCCUGGUAGGACUCUCUGGCUACAAAGUGAAAGGUCCUGAGUUCAAAUCCCAGCAACCACAUGGCUCACAACCAUCUGUAAUGAGAUCUGAUGCUCUCUUCUGGUGUGUCUGAAGACAGCUACAGUGUACUCAUAUAAAUAAAAUAAAUAAAUCUUUAAAAAAUGA